AUUCAUAUUCCGUGCUGGUAAUUUCAUCAAGUAAACAGAAAUUAUGUAUAACCUCAAGUUAUAUUACAUUACCGUUGUAACAUUAUUCUUGAACUUGGUAGAUUCAGUGAAUGUGCUAAGAUCUGUUUUCACGUUUAGAAAUCAUGUAGCUAGCUUUUAGCCACAUCCCUCCAGCCCGGAACAAUCAGUGUCUUUGAGAACAUCUUUUUUAUUGUGACAUGUCAUUCUCAAUGAGAAUGUGAUUAGUUACUUGCCUGAAAUAUUUAUAUUAAAUUGGGAUGUACAUCACAUGAAAGACUCAAUAGUUUUGUAUAAACUAUAAAGUAGCAUCUUCCCGGAGAUUGAAACUAAUGCAUACCCUUUUUAACUUGGCAUCUUUUCUAACAAGAUCUCUGUGGUAAAAUGGCAUCAUAUGAUCUGAGAUAAUUGUGGUCCAGAAUCUAGUCUAUUGGUCCUGGAACUAAAUUCGAGAUGUUAUAUCAUCUUCUAGCAUAGAAUAGGUUGGACUGCUAGGGUUCCGUACACAGUCUUUUUCUCUUUUUCAGUCAGUCAGUAGCAAAAUUCUACUCCUUGUAUGAUUGUAUAUCAGAAAAGUUACAUAUGAGACCGCCGUGAAAAUAAAACAAUUAUGGAAAACCAAUAACAGCAUAGAGCUUGUUUGAACAAGAGUCUGGGAAAUUCAGGUGGUGUUUGCUAUCGUUUUCUGUUUUCUGUUGUUUAAAACUGUUUCUAAUUAUAUAUUUACUGAAAAUUACUUGUACAACUAAGACCAAAAGCACUACAUUUUUUAUCAUAAGACUGUUUUUUUAUGUUCUUAAAAACAGAAAACAGUUCUUUAGUUGUGAAGCCAAACAGACACUUAGUUUCUACGAGGUAUAUAGAGGAAUGCACAGAAAGACCUACUUUUUUCUAAUUCAUGCCACUAAUGAAUGUCAAUUGAUGCUCACAGCUGGUGCAAUGUUUUAGUUCCUAGAAGUGAAACAUGGAGGAACAACUUUUGACUUACAGCUUGCAGCGGCUACAGUAAUUUUGAAUGGCUCCCACCACAUUAGACAAUGUCAAGAAGUGUCUGCUUCUAACCCAUCAUCAGUCCAUUCUUUGUGGGUACUCGCUCUUAUCCUCCUCCUCCUCAUAUAUGAUACUUCUCAAUUUAUUAUACAAGCUCAGGGUUACUCUUAUCUGCAGUGAGUUAACUGAUAAUUAUCCUGUCAAUACUUAUAUGCAGUACUAAUCUUGAUACCGGAAUGUCUUAAGCAUAUAUACAUUCCAGAGUCGCGAUAUGCUAAAGCCAUGUGGCCGGUUAGUUGUCUAUAUGCUUGAUUGUGAUGGUUUAGGUUUGAGGUUGAGGAUAAUGGAAAAGGAGAGGGAUACAAAAGCACGUUGAGAAGUUAAGCGAUCACGUGAGGGGUGGCUGCAGAGCUGCAGCUGGCUAAACUAGAAACUGUUGAAACCUAAUCAACCAUAUCCUCAUACUAUGUUUUAGCACACCAGCAGCCCACAAUUAUAGGCACAUGAUCCCAGUCCCAACCCGAGGGCUAACUGAGGGCCUAUGUUUAGCUGUAGUCAAUAGUACGGGGUAAAUUCUAUGGUUAAGAUUCGGAUACAUGUGCUAAUCACGUUGAUUAAUAUAUAGUCCGCGCAAUCGCUUUCAACCUUUUAAGCUAACUAAUAAUUAUCAUGUAGUGUAUCAGAUUAUCUGUGAUUGCAAGUUAGUUAAGAAAGGUUUGAAAUAAUUAAGGGUUCCUAAAAGGUACUCAGAGAUUGUGUAACCACUAAACUAGUUAAUAGUAGUAGUUACAUGUACUAUUAAUAUUCCAUGCCAGAGGGUCUGCUGAAUUUGAGAUGUUGUCAUCUCUUGCAUAUCACAUGGCAGAAGGAUAAAAUUUAAUAUAUAGUGGUUGAAAAUUAUAAACCUAAUGGUUUGUUCCUGCUGAACUGAGCAAGAAACAUGCAUGGUGGGAAAGACUUGGCUACCAAGACAAACCCCUCUUUUAUGGUCUUGUUAAUUGCUUGACUUUAACUAAAUACUACUCCAUUUAUAUUUAUUUAUUAGUUACUUUUAUAUUAUAGCAACUGGGUAAUAUUAUAUGAUAUGUGACAUAAAUUUUAGUUGUGAGUUAGUACAUUAAUUAUAUUUGUUUAAUUUUGUGUGUGUAAUGUUUGGGAAUGACAAUACAGAGUUAAUUACUUUAUGUCAUGCAUUGCAUAUAGUAAUAUUUGUAGUGAAUUGUUUCUGAAGAAAAAGUAAUUUGUAACAUGGUUCACUUAAAUAUAUUCCUUGAAUCAGAAGAAUGAAAUACAGUAUGUAUGUAAAAAGUCAGAGACUGACAAUUCAUAAUAAUUUUGUGUUACGUGGGCAGAUCACUGAAUUUUAAAUCAUCCACUCACAUGCAAACCCUCAUGCACCAUCAAGAAAUCUAUAGGUAUGAUCUGUGAUCAUUAGCCUAAACACGUUCUGGUUGUGAUCUUGCCAAUAAUUGACCCUGUGAUUAACAGAUGGAUUACCUGGUAAUCAGGAUAUUAGAAAACGACUAUAAUAAACGGAUACUCAUUUAUGAGACAUAUAUUUAUACGAGAUGGACAUAUUGUAUUGUCGCUGUUAUUAUCAUGAGAUUAAACACAUCGAUGGUACAUUCCGAAAAAUCGAGAUUAUGACAUGAUCAGAUGGUGCAUUGUAUGGGCUGGAGGCACACAACACACAGAAUGAGUGAAGAAAGGGCAAGGGGAUAUUAAGCAGAGAUGGAGAAGAAGAUAGUAAUCCCCAGCAAGCAGUAGGGUAGCCAUAAGUUGAUAGCAAUGAUUCUAUAUUAAAUCAAGUACAUUGUACUGUACAUGCAUAUAUGGCCUCUAUCUUUGCAUUAUUCAACAGUUGGUAUCUAUAUUUAAUAUCAUAAUGAUAUCCUCAUGUCAUGUUUCCUUUCCACCCAACUUAUCUCUAGCUUUUUGCCUGCCCUUCCUGGAUAAUUUUAAUUGAUUUUUAACUAAUCUUUUUGGUUCUAUGCACACCUUGUAAGUUGCAAGUGCUAGUAACUUGUCAAUGCAUUGUAUUUUCUUUCUUUCUUCAUGAGCAAUCAGUUUCUUUGGAGCUCCAAGACAACCACUGUAUGUUAGCUUAUUUUCGUGUGAUUGAUCUUAUCAUCGUGUCCUGGACACCAGGUUCCACUUAUUGACCCUUUUCCCCGAUUAUAAAAUAUUCUGAGUACAGAAAUUUAAAUAUCGAACCAUCCAAGUGGAAAUGGAGUCUUGUCUUGAUCCAAAUGGUGAUAAAUUUGAAACGAAA